AGAAAAAGAAGAGGAUAUGACCCUACAGCGUGCCAGAUAAAAAAGUUCAAGGACUAAAUUUGCCCCUUGCUUCAACAUUUCAUAAUAUAAUUGGACCUGUCUACACCUCGGAUACACACAGCAAAGAGCAUAUAAAAUUACUGAGUUAAUGUGGGUGCUGGAUUCUGAGGUGAGAAACUGAGGUGCGAACCACUAGGGCAUAUUGUGCUUCCAUGGAAGUUUUAUUGGGUCCUUAAGAAGCCCUUGCUUGGUCUUUUAGAAGGCUGGGCAUAGGUCGAUAAAUGGAAUGUAGUUGUUUAAAUAGUUUUACUAAAGUUCUGACAUCAACUCUAGUUUAAAUCUAUAUAGCUGCAGGUAAUGUAAUAAGGCCAUACUCUUCCAAGCUGGCAGCCAUGGCAAAAGUCCCUUUCUCUUGACGCAAAUUACAAGGAAAUCCAAGAACUUCUUUAAGAUCUAUAUGCCAAAGACCUGGAGUUGUUACUAGGGUGGGGAUGUGUAAAGGUCUAGUGACUCACUAAAGUCAGCUGGGACCUGGGGUGCUGGCACCCGGAGGAUACAGAAGAAACAAAAGUUGGGGGGCUGGCGAAGGUCGCAAGCACACUUGAUCUCUGAUUGGCGGAACCGCUCAGAGUUUUCUUUAUGGUGUCACCGAGUACCUGCCUGUAGAAAGGCCCCGUUUCCGUGACGUCACGUCCUGCCGCCCAAUCAGAGGCCUCGGCACGGGGCCCCGAGGUGGGAUGUGGGCCCUUUUUUGUGAAUAAAGCGCCACGGAGCAGCCCUCCCAGGGUCCCCGCGAGCCGCGUCCCGCUGUGCCCAGGCGCCUACGCAGCAGCGUCCACGUCCGCGUCAGCGGGGGGGACGCGCACGGGUACUCCGGGCAGCCCCGGCAGCCAGCGGCAGCCCGGUCGCCUCGGCCGCGCCAGCGGGCUGAGGGAACCUGGGGGCGGGCUGGGGUUGCCGGCAGUGGCGGGAGGCGCUGUAGCGAGGGCUGCGGCGCGGGUUCCGCGGCGGCGGCGGCGGGAGGGAGCGGAGCAGGCGCUGUGGGCCGGGCCCCUCCUCCGGCUCCUGCGCGGCCGCCUCCCGCAGGGCUCCGCCGCCGCCCACCGUCCCCGCAGCGCCGCUCUGCGCCCGCUGCCCCGAGCGCCCUAGCGGGGCUGGCGAGAGCCUCGGCGGACGCGCGGGCGGGUGCGCGCUGCCAUGGUAGUGGCCCCCUGACGGGCUGCGGCCGCCUCCAGGAAGCGAAAGAGGGAGCUGGGGUCGACCUCGCCGCGCUGCUCGUCGACCUCGCCGGGUGUGAAGAAGAGCCGCAGUUCCGCGCCGCAGGACCCGCGCCGCCUGGACUCCGAGGACUACAUGUACCUGGACAUCACUGGAGGGAAACAUGA
rnacentral:lncRNA from 1 species